rnacentral:rRNA from 1 species
GACGAACGCUGGCGGCGUGCUUAACACAUGCAAGUCGAACGGAAAGGCCCUGCUUUUGUGGGGUGCUCGAGUGGCGAACGGGUGAGUAACACGUGAGUAACCUGCCCUUGACUUUGGGAUAACUUCAGGAAACUGGGGCUAAUACCGGAUAGGAGCUCCUGCUGCAUGGUGGGGGUUGGAAAGGUUCGGCGGUUGGGGAUGGACUCGCGGCUUAUCAGCUUGUUGGUGGGGUAGUGGCUUACCAAGGCUUUGACGGGUAGCCGGCCUGAGAGGGUGACCGGCCACAUUGGGACUGAGAUACGGCCCAGACUCCUACGGGAGGAAGAAGUGGGGAAUAUUGCACAAUGGGCGGAAGCCUGAUGCAGCAACGCCGCGUGCGGGAUGACGGCCUUCGGGUUGUAAACCGCUUUCGCCUGUGACGAAGCGUGAGUGACGGUAAUGGGUAAAGAAGCACCGGCUAACUACGUG